CACUGGAAAUUUUGGAAAAAAACAAGGGAGUUAAAAAUCUUCAUCUAGUCGGGAUAAAAUCAAGAGGU
rnacentral:tRNA from 1 species